CUUCCUGAAGCCUUAAAAAUUGGGUUCUGCCCCACAGCACCUCCUGGGAAAUAUCCUAAUGGUUUCAGAGAUGUGCUGAGGGAGCUGAUCCGGGAUGAAGGAGUCACAUCCUUGUACAAAGGGUUCAAUGCAGUGAUGAUCCGAGCCUUCCCAGCCAAUGCGGCCUGUUUCCUUGGCUUUGAAGUUGCCAUGAAGUUCCUUAAUUGGGCCACCCCCAACUUGUGAGGCUGAAGGCUGCUCAAGUUCACUUCUGGAUGCUGGAAGCUGUCGUUGAGGAGAAGGAGUAGUAGGCAGAACUAAGCAGUCUUGGAGGGCAAGGGGAGGGGAAUGGUGAGAUCCGAGCCCUGUGCAUGGACUUGGUGAGACUGUUGCCUUAAUGACAUCCUGCACCGUGUAUAACUUAGUGUGUCAUUUUGAAACUUGAAUUCAUUCUUAUCAAUUUAAGGGAUCUUAAAAGGAUUUGGAAAUGGAACAAGUAGCUUCCAGACCAGAUACUACCUGUGGCAAGAAUGCUGCCUACCAGUUAACUGCUGGUCCUACCACAGUCAAAGUAUUCCUCAUUAAAGAGAGAAUCUCAGGUUCUCACUGGAGGCACUGUGCAUAUUUUCAACCAGAUCACCAGGAGCUGAGAUCUUCUUCAGUCCCUAGCCAGGAAUACCCAUUUGAUUUCCAGGGUGCCAUCUAAUCCUGGGCU
rnacentral:sRNA from 1 species